rnacentral:rRNA from 1 species
CUUACCUGGGUUUGACCUGGAUCGGGAGUGCUCAGAGAUGGGUGUGCCUCUUUUGGGGUCGGUUCACAGGUGGUGCAUGGCUGUCGUCAGCUCGUGUCGUGAGAUGUUGGGUUAAGUCCCGCAACGAGCGCAACCCUUGUUCACUGUUGCCAGCACGUUAUGGUGGGGACUCAGUGGAGACCGCCGGGGUCAACUCGGAGGAAGGUGGGGAUGACGUCAAGUCAUCAUGCCCCUUAUGUCCAGGGCUUCACGCAUGCUACAAUGGCUGGUACAGAGAGUGGCGAGCCUGUGAGGGUGAGCGAAUCUCGGAAAGCCGGUCUCAGUUCGGAUUGGGGUUUGCAACUCGACCUCAUGAAGUUGGAGUCGCUAGUAAUUGCAGAUCAG